UGGGGAAUAUUGGACAAUGGGGGCAACCCUGAUCCAGCAAUGCCGCGUGUGUGAAGAAGGCCUGCGGGUUGUAAAGCACUUUCGGUGGGGAGGAAAAGCGCGGUGCCAAUACCACCGUUUGUUGACGUUACCCAUAGAAGAAGCACCGGCUAACUCCGUGACAGCAGCCGCGGUAAUACGGAGGGUGCGAGCGUUAAUCGGAAUUACUGGGCGUAAAGGGCGCGUAGGCGGUCAGAUAAGUCAGAUGUGAAAGCCCCGGGCUCAACCUGGGAAUGGCAUUUGAUACUGUCUGACUGGAGUAUGGCAGAGGAGAGCGGAAUUCCCGGUGUAGCGGUGAAACGCGUAGAUAUCGGGAGGAACACCAGUGGCGAAGGCGGCUCUCUGGACCAAUACUGACGCUGAGGCGCGAAAGCGUGGGGAGCAA
rnacentral:rRNA from 1 species